rnacentral:rRNA from 1 species
AGAUUGAACGCGUGGCGGCGGGCCUAACACAUGCAAGUCGAGCGGUAGAGAGGUGCUUGCAUCUCUUGAGAGCGGCGGACGGGUGAGUAAUGCCUAGGAAUCUGCCUAGUGGUGGGGGAUAACGUUCGGAAACGGACGCUAAUACCGCAUACGUCCUACGGGAGUAAAGCGGGGGACCUUCGGGCCUCGCGCCAUUAGAUGAGCCUAGGUCGGAUUAGCUAGUUGGUGAGGUAAUGGCUCACCAAGGCGACGAUCCGUAACUGGUCUGAGAGGAUGAUCAGUCACGACUGGAACUGACGACACGGUCCAGACUCCUACGGGAGGCAGCAGGCGGGGAAUAGUUGGACUAAGUGGGGAC